AUUGAACGCUGGCGGCAGGCCUAACACAUGCAAGUCGAGCGGAUCGCCGGACGGGUGAGUGAUGCCUAGGAAUCUGCCUGGUAGCGGGGGAUAGCGUCCGGAAACUGGCGCUAAUACCGCAUACUACCAUAUGAGCCUAGGUCGGAUUGGCUCGGUGGUGGCGUAAAGGCUUACAAAGGCGACGACCCGUAACCGAUCUGAGAGGAUGAUCAGGCACACUGGAACUGAGACACGGUCCAGACUCCUACGGGAGGCAGCAGUGGGGAAUAUUGGGCAAUGGGCGAAAGCCUGAUCCAGCCACGCCGCGUGAGUGAAGAAGGUCUUCGGAUUGUAAAGCUCUUUUAUUAGGGAAGCGUUACCUAACGAAUAAGCACCGGCUAACUACGUGCCAACAGCCGCGGUAAUUC
rnacentral:rRNA from 1 species